rnacentral:rRNA from 1 species
UACAGAGGUCUCAAGCGUUGUUCGGAUUCAUUGGGCGUAAAGGGUGUGUAGGUGGCGCGCUAAGUCGGGUGUGAAAUUUCGGAGCUUAACUCCGAAACUGCAUUCGAUACUGGCGUGCUUGAGGACUGGAGAGGAGACUGGAAUUCAUGGUGUAGCGGUGAAAUGCGCAGAUAUCAGGAGGAACACCGGUGGCGAAGGCGGGUCUCUGGGCAUUAACUGACGCUGAGGAGCGAAAGCAUGGGGAGCGAACAGG